UGUGAUCAAGCCUUUGGUGUCACUGCUCUGCGCUAGGUGCUGACGUAGUUGGUGAAGUACUUCUGAGGAGUUGGAAGAUUGAAGUCUAUAUUCAGGGGGAGUUUAGCUCGGGAUCGGGAAGAUUUUGAUAAACAAAAGUCUAGGCUCUAGGGUGAGUUUUAGCUUAGGAUUGGGGUAAUCCUAAAGGAUUCUUGUAAUAGAAAAGAUUGGUGUAAGACUUUUUUGUUCUAGUGAAUUCGAAAAGAGAAAAACUCGUGUCUUAUUUAUUUCUGCAUUUUACUCUGGCCUCACUGCAUUAACAAGUGGUAUCAGAGCGGGUCACCUAAGUUACUGGUGUGAUCUUGAAGGGUGAGGAAAAAAACUGAUUCAGGAAGAAGGACAGAGUUUGUGAUGGCGGCAUAUCAAGAGGGAACGUCUAUGACAAAACCCCCCACGUCUUGAUUCAUCCAAUUAUGGGUAUUGGAAGGUGCGGAUGCAAGCAUUCAUCAGUGGUCUUGAUGAGGAUUGUUGGAGCUCUAUUGAAGCUGGUUAGAGUCAUCCAGUGAUGCUUAAUGAUGAGAAGGUUGAAGUUUUUAAGCCAAGAGAUCAGUGGACUGCUUCAGAGAAGAGGACUUCAAGUUGUAACUCUAAGGCAAAGACAACGAUUUACAAUGCUAUUGAUGCAAGCUAUUUCAAGUUGAUUUCUCGAUGUGCUUCAGCUCAGAAGGCAUGGAAGACAUUGGAGAAUAUGUUUGAAGGUACUACAAGUGUCAAACGUACCAAGCUGGAUAUGUUAGCAUCAAGGUUUGAGAAUCUGAGGAUGGAUGAAGAGGAAACUGUGGCUCAGUUUAGUGCUAAGUUGUGUGACAUUUCAAAUGAAUGUUUUGCACUUGGAAAGCAAUACAAGGACAAAAAGCUGGUGAAGAAGCUGAAGAGAUCGUUGCUUUCCAAGUUUGAGUCAAAGAUCUCUGCUGUAGAAGAAGCUCACAAUCUGGAUGAGAUGGCUUUUGAUGAGUUUGCUGGGAUUCUUCAAGCUUUUGAGCUGAGCAAAUCAUAUGGAAAAUGGGAGAAGAAGAAAGAAGAUCCAUAUGAAAUUGCUUUAAAGAGUUCAACUUCUGAAGAUCCUUUAGCGAUGUUGUCAAGAAACUUUGCUAGCUAUAUGAAGCAAAUAGAGGACAAGAUAAAGAAUGGAAGAAGAAGUGAUUUGGGAAGAUCAUCAUCAAAGGUACAAUGCUACAAGUGCAAUGGAUUUGGGCAUGUUCGGAAGGAGUGUGCGAAUUUACUGAAGCAAAAGAAGAGGGAUGACAAGAAUGAUACUGAUGAUGAUUCAGAUGAUGGUGAGAAGCUAAAGAACUUUGUGGCAUUCACAACUUUUGUGCCUGGUUCCAAGAUAGAAUCUACGACGGGAUCUACAGCGGGAUCUGCCUCUGCGUCUAUGUCAGGGUCUUCAUGUGGAGGUGAUGAUGAUGCUGGAAGUGAAGAUGAUGAUGGUGGAAGCUUUGAUCUUGCUGGGAAUUAUGAAAAGUUGUAUGAGCAUUGGCUCAAACUAGUUGAGACAAACUCAUAUUUGGCUAAGGAGAAAGCCAAGCUAGAAGCUCAAGUUGCUGAAGCACUUAAGCAUGCUUCAGAGAAAGAAGAAGAAGCACGACUGGCUGUUGCUCAACUUGCAGAGACUCGGAAGGGUUUGAGGAUGCUGAAUAAUGGGAUGGAUCAGCUAGAUCAACUUCUCAGUAUUGGGCAAAGUGAUAGAUGCAGCAUUAGAUAUCAAGGAGAAUGUUCUAAGGCUGAAGGUGUUUUUGUAUCAGCAGGAGAAACUAAGGAUGUAGCUACGUCUGCUACAAAGCCAGAAGUUAAGAUGUCUGCAGAGAAUGCUGCAAAUGGAAAGACUACAGUGAAGCCUGCAACUGAUGUGAAGAAUGUGACGGCUACGCGUACUGCUACGGCGACUACUCCUGAGAGAGUUUCUGGAUGGAAGAAUGGAUCUCAACAAAGGUUUCGGCCUAUUUGUCAUCACUGUGGUAUUGUUGGACACAUUCGGCUAAGGUGUUUCAAGUUAUUGAGGGAAAAGAAUCAGAUGGAGCAAGCCUAUGGUAUGAGGUAUCAUGGACCUAUAUGUUAUUCUUGUGGAGUUCAAGGGCAUAUGCGACGUGAUUGUGUCAAGUCUGUUCAAGGAGCUAAUCAUGGAGGAUUUGGGCUCAGGAAACGUGGGCUAGGAGAUUUGAUCAUUAUGGAGAUGGUGGAAUGGGAUUUCCUCCUCAUUUUAGAGGAUAUGGAUCUUCAUAUUAGUUUUUGACCAUGAUGUGACUCAUAGGGGGAGAUUAAAGACGUGGCUUUUAUAUCCAGAGGUGAUGAGUUCACAUGCAUAGCCAAAAAUGGGGAGAUUGAAGAUGUAUAUUCUGUAUCAGUUCGUGAAGUACUACUGGAGGUAGUACAUGCGUGUGUCAUGAAGAUGGGCUUGGUUGAAAUUCGUAUUAUGUGAUGUCCGUGGGCUUGUUAAGCUUGGAGAAGAAGCAAUAUGUUUAUUGAAAGAUUUACAUUAAGCGUAAAUGAUAUUACUUGAAGAGGAAAAAGCAAGAGAGUUAUUCCUUGGGAGAAAAAAGAAAAUUGCUUAAGUUGCUUUUGAACUUGGAGAGCAAGUUCUGGUUAUGUAUACAUGGAGGACGUGCCUCUAAGAAGAGAGUUGUCUCUGCUAAAAGAAGAAAAGUCGAGAGAUCAUUGUUUGGUGCUUGUGUGAUCAAGCCUUUUGUGUCACUGCUCUGCGCUAGGUGCUGACGUAGUUGGUGAAGUACUUCCGAGGAGUUGAAAGAUUGAAGUCUAGAUUCAGAGGGAGUUUAGCUCGGGAUCGGGAAGAUUCUGAUAAACAAAAGUCUAGGCUCUAGGGUGAGUUUUAGAUUAGGAUUGGGGUAAUCCUAAAGGAUUCUUGUAAUAGAAAAGAUUGGUGUAAGACUUUCUUAUUCUAGUGAAUUCGAAA
rnacentral:lncRNA from 1 species